GGCCUGAUAGCUCAGUUGGUAGAGCAAAGGACUGAAAAUCCUUGUGUCGCUGGUUCGAUCCCUGCUCAGGCCA
rnacentral:tRNA from 3 species